UGGGGGAUAUUGCACAAUGGGCGAAAGCCUGAUGCAGCAACGCCGCGUGAAGGAAGACGGUUUUCGGAUUGUAAACUUCUAUCAGCUGGGAAGAAAAUGACUGUACCAGACUAAGAAGCCCCGGCUAACUACGUGCCAGCAGCCGCGGUAAUACGUAGGGGCAAGCGUUAUCCGGAUUUACUGGGUGUAAAGGGUACGUAGGCGGCUUACUAAGUCAGAUGUGAAAGCCCGGAGCUCAACUCCGGGACUGCAUUUGAAACUGGUGAGCUAGAGUACAGGAGAGGUAAGUGGAAUUCCUAGUGUAGCGGUGAAAUGCGUAGAUAUUAGGAAGAACACCAGUGGCGAAGGCG
rnacentral:rRNA from 1 species